CACCCUUUACCUUCAUUGUCUGAAUAGGGACAAUACGAACACAAUCGUUUCUUUAUGCUUAUACGCAGCGAAAAAGUCCGUUCUGUGCGCAGUCACGUCUCCGACUAGGUUCAACCAAAGUGUCAGGGCUAACAAUUCCCAGCCUUCUUCCCAGCUGCCGGAAUCUGUCACUACCUCAUAGUGGACAUUGCACAUGGGUCACCGCCAAACUACCAAGCUGCCGACUACGAAUUCAUUCUAAUCUUCUCAAGAAGCGUCGUCGUUCUGUUCACAAUUGACGAAGCCAUGCCCGCAGACAUCAGGAAAGCAACGCACGAUAAGGCCUUUCGCAGUAACCUUGCCUUAGUACGCAAAGACCUGCCAACGUUUGCCGGCUUAGGCUACCUUGCAUCUAUUCCCGGUCUACACCAACGAUCCACGAUAAACAACAUUGUACCUGUACUCCGCGAUCUCUUCAAGAACCUGGAAUAUGAUCUCUUGGAAGCGAGAGUUGGAGCUCCUGAGAUUUCCAAUUUUUUCACCGUCACGCCAGACUCAACUCAGUACACCGCAGUUUACCAGGACCUUCUGAAAGGCCUUGACGGCGCUGUCCGCUUCAUCAUUGUUAACACAGUCGCAAAACUCCGAAUCAUCUCCUUGCUAUGCUCAAGCAAGGUCUUCGUGGGAUACGGGAUGCUUCUUUAGCAACAGCAGUCAACUGACGAUGGUCGACAUUGUCAAGAUGACCGGAAAAUUGAAGAAUUUUGCCUCCAGUGUUGCACUUACCCUGAGUAUGACCAUGACAGUCAUAAAGGGUAUCGACAUAAGUGCCAUCAUGCAAGCUGGAAGGCCGCAUGCGAUACAGCGGGCUAAAUGCACAAAUAUGACAGAAGACAAGUACGAAGUGGUUUGUCGCACGUGGCUUUAUUCUGGAAGUUAUGCGAUAAAUUACGUGCAUUACCUGCCGGAUGGCUGUUGCAACUUCGUCGAGAGCAGAUAUCCCAACGAAGUACUCACAUUCGAAACGCCGAAAUCCAUAGAGGACAAGGCAAGAACACU